GCCCUCGUGGUGUAGUGGUCAGCACGCUCGACGCGUAUUCGAGAGGUCCGUGGUUCGAGCCCCGCGAGGGCA
rnacentral:tRNA from 1 species